rnacentral:rRNA from 1 species
UCGAGAGGCUUCCGCAAUGGGGGAAACCCUGACGGAGCGACGCCGCGUGAGGGAUGACGGCUUUCGGGUUGUAAACCUCUUUCAGGUGGGAAGAAAAGUUACGGAGUGAAUAAUUCCGUAGCCGUGACGGUACCACCAGAAGAAGCUCCGGCUAACUCCGUGCCAGCAGCCGCGGUAACACGGGGGGAGCGAGCGUUGUUCGGAUUCAUUGGGCGUAAAGGGCGCGUAGGCGGUUUGGCAAGUCCGACGUGAAAUGUACCGGUUCAACCGGGGCGCUGUGUCGGAAACUGCCUUACUUGAGGUCGAGGGAGGAAAGUGGAAUUCCUGGUGUAGCGGUGAAAUGCGUAGAUAUCAGGAGGAACACCCGUGGCGAAGGCGGCUUUCUAUCUCGAAUCUGACGCUGAGGCGCGAAAGCUAGGGGAGCAAACGGGAUUAGAUACCCCCGUAGUCC